UUAAAAAGAACAGAUACAAGGACAUACUGCCAUUGAUCACAGCCGAGUUAAAUUGACAUUAAAGACUCCUUCACAAGAUUCAGACUAUAUCAAUGCAAAUUUUAUAAAGGCGUCUAUGGGCCAAAAGCAUAUGUAGCAACUCAAGGACCUUUAGCAAAUACAGUAAUAGAUUUUUGGAGGAUGAUAUGGGAGUAUAAUGUUGUGUCAUUGUAAUGGCCUGCCGAGAAUUUGA
rnacentral:lncRNA from 1 species